rnacentral:rRNA from 1 species
UACGUAGGGGGCGAGCGUUGUCCGGAUUUAUUGGGCGUAAAGAGCUCGUAGGCGGUUUGGUAAGUUGGAUGUGAAAUCUCCAGGCUCAACUUGGAGGGGUCAUUCGAUACUGCCAUGACUAGAGUUCGGUAGGGGAGUGUGGAAUUCCUGGUGGAGCGGUGAAAUGCGCAGAUAUCAGGAGGAACACCCGUAGCGAAGGCGGCACUCUGGGCCGAUACUGACACUGAGGAGCGAAAGCGUGGGGAGCGAACAGG